rnacentral:rRNA from 1 species
UACGUAGGGUGCAAGCGUUAAUCGGAAUUACUGGGCGUAAAGCGUGCGCAGGCGGUUUUGUAAGUCUGUCGUGAAAGCCCCGGGCUCAACCCGGGAAGUGCACUUGAAACUGGGAGGCUAGAGUAUCGGAGAGGUUGGUGGAAUUCUCGGUGUAGAGGUGAAAUUCGUAGAUAUUGGGAAGAACACCGGUGGCGAAGGCGGCCAUCUGGACCGCAACUGACGCUGAGGCGCGAAAGCGUGGGGAGCAAACAGGG